rnacentral:rRNA from 1 species
UACGUAGGGGGCUAGCGUUGUCCGGAAUCAUUGGGCGUAAAGCGCGUGUAGGCGGCUCGGUAAGUCCGCUGUGAAAGUCGGGGGCUCAACCCUCGGAUGCCGGUCGAUACUGCCGGACUAGAGUUCGGAAGAGGCGAGUGGAAUUCCCGGUGUAGCGGUGAAAUGCGCAGAUAUCGGGAGGAACACCAAUGGCGAAGGCAGCUCGCUGGGACGUUACUGACGCUGAGACGCGAAAGCGUGGGGAGCAAACAGG